CCCAAUGUAGUCCAUUUAUAUCUAGCUAAAGUUUCUAAAGUACACGAUAAGCCGUUAAUGAUUUGUUUGUUUUUAAGUGGUUUAUUUUAUUUUGUGGUGUCACUCUGUGUUACCACUUUUGAGUCGACUCUGAAGAGAUAAGUUUUAAAUUUAUAUUCUGUUUUAAUAAUAAUAAUAAUAAUAAUAAUAAUCAUAAUCAUAAUUAUAAUAAUUCUAUUUAUAAAGCACGUUUAAAACAGACAGCUGAAAGUGCUGUACAUCAGAAUAUACAGAUAAUAAAAUAAUAAAAGCAAUAAAUCAGAAUUAAAUAAAAACCAGGGAAUAGAAAUGCAUUUUCAACCGGUUUUUAAAUAAUGAAACAUACUAUUUUCAUUGUGAGCUUUUGUCUGUAUACUGAUAGUAAAACACACACACACACACACACACACACACACACACACACACACACACACACACACACACACACACACACCAGCCGAGUUGAGUUUGUGGUUAUUUAAGGUCCCACUCAACAGUACUUUGUUUACAGGUUACAGUUAUAAAAGUUUGUAUAUUUAUUGUUAUAAUAUAUUUAAUAUAGCAUAUUCUUUAAUCUUAAAACUGGAUGCUCAGUUUUAUACACACCCAGACCAAACAUCAAACUAAAUAAUAGAAAAAACUGUUGGUGGAAUAUAUGUUAAUUUAAUGAUCAGAUUGCACAGUAAUUUUUAAAGGCCAAUAUAUGUAGAUUGGUGUAUACACAACCUAUAUAUAAGGGCUCUGACCUUUUUUUCCUUUUUUUCUUACAGAAUUGGGGUGGAGCCUAUAGAUUUUAUUGAACUUUGUCAAACUGGAGGGUUUUUUGUGUACUCUGACUUUGUGCCAGCGUUAUAGGUUAAUCAACUGUACUGAAUAAACAAGUGAUUAUUUACUGCAGAGGAAAACAGACAGAAAAAGAGAAGAAAACAGACAGAGCAGUCUUCAUCACAAUGAUUCUGAGGUGACUGUGAUGAGGAAAAACUGACCUAAAGAUAAAGGAAGAAACCUCGAGAGGAACCAGACUCAACCUUGAGAGGAACCAGACUCAACCUUGAGAGGAACCUCAUCCUCAUAUGAGUGACACUGGAGGGUGUGAUAAUAAAUAUACAGUCUAACAAAUGUUGUAUUGUUGAGGAGGUUGUUGUGCUCAAAGACCACAUGGAGCUGGUAUCUCAUUAAAAUGGGAAAUAGCUUUAUUUGCAAAAAACACCUAUCAAUACUGCACUGUAUGUUCAAGACUCAUGUGCUUAGUGCUUACAUAACCUGCACUGUAUGUUCAAGACUCAUGUGCUUAGUGCUUACAUAACCUGCACUGUAUGUUCAAGACUCAUGUGCUUAGUGCUUACAUAACCUGCACUGUAUGUUCAAGACUCAUGUGCUUAGUGCUUACAUAACCUGCACUGUAUGUUCAAGACUCAUGUGCUUAGUGCUUACAUAUCCUGCACUGUAUGUUCAAGACUCAUGUGCUUAGUGCUUACAUAACCUGCACUGUAUGUUCAAGACUCAUGUGCUUAGUGCUUACAUAUCCUGCACUGUAUGUUCAAGACUCAUGUGCUUAGUGCUUACAUAACCUGCACUGUAUGUUCAAGACUCAUGUGCUUAGUGCUUACAUAUCCUGCACUGUAUGUUCAAGACUCAUGUGCUUAGUGCUUACAUAUCCUGCACUGUAUGUUCAAGACUCAUGUGCUUAGUGCUUACAUAACCUGCACUGUAUCCAUAGUCCCCCAGGCUGGGAGUAACUCUUAAGGCAUUGAUUCAAUACAAAAUGUCUUCUCUUGCUCUGACACCUCUGACUCUUCUGUAUUGUUUGUGAAGUGUAUAAUAAAGUCAUAAGUCAAAGUUGCAAUUGUCUCUACA